UAUCCCCCCUGUGUGCCCUUGUCUACGACUAGCAGAGCAUCCUACGGGAGGCAGCAGUGGGGAAUAUUGCACAAUGGGCGCAAGCCUGAUGCAGCCAUGCCGCGUGUAUGAAGAAGGCCUUCGGGUUGUAAAGUACUUUCAGCAGUGAGGAAGGUGGGUAUGUUAAUAGCAUACUCAUUUGACGUUAGCUGCAGAAGAAGCACCGGCUAACUCCGUGCCAGCAGCCGCGGUAAUACGGAGGGUGCGAGCGUUAAUCGGAAUUACUGGGCGUAAAGCGCAUGCAGGUGGUUUGUUAAGUCAGAUGUGAAAGCCCGGGGCUCAACCUCGGAAUUGCAUUUGAAACUGGCAAACUAGAGUACUGUAGAGGGGGUAGAAUUUCAGGUGUAGCGGUGAAAUGCGUAGAGAUCUGAAGGAAUACCGGUGGCGAAGGCGGCCCCCUGGACAGAUACUGACACUCAGAUGCGAAAGCGUGGGGAGCAAACAGGAUUAGAUACCCUGGUAG
rnacentral:rRNA from 1 species